rnacentral:rRNA from 1 species
UACGUAGGGUGCGAGCGUUAAUCGGAAUUACUGGGCGUAAAGCGUGCGCAGGCGGUUGUGUAAGACAGAUGUGAAAUCCCCGGGCUCAACCUGGGAACUGCAUUUGUGACUGCACAGCUGGAGUGCGGCAGAGGGGGAUGGAAUUCCGCGUGUAGCAGUGAAAUGCGUGGAUAUGCGGAGGAACACCGAUGGCGAAGGCAAUCCCCUGGGCCUGCACUGACGCUCAUGCACGAAAGCGUGGGGAGCAAACAGG